GGGUUGUCAGUAACACAUAACUAAGGGUACGCUAAUGUCUCAUCAGCCAGUACAAUGGUAACUUCUCCCACAGGAUUUCCUGUGUCAUUAGUUUAAUGUAGCUCUCUUUUGUUCAUACUUCUGUGUUAUCACCAUCUCAGUAUGGCGGUUUGUUCUUUAGGCUGCACAAACAUUUAUUAUCUUUAGCUUUAAUUUUUUUUAUGAUAAAUGCACAUAUUUAUGUCAGUAUGAGUCUGGUAGUUAUCAAGAGGGUACUUAUUUAGUACAUUUUCAGUCUAAGUAAACUUAGACUCAGUAUUAUUCGUUACACUGCUAUACAGUGUGAGCAGGGUAGCAAAUAAUUCUGAGCCUAAGUUUACUUAGACUGGUACAUUUUCAGCACAACUUCGAUGUAUUCAUUUUAUAGUUUAUUCAUUAAUUUUUUGAAUUUUUUUUUUUAUAUAUUCAUCAAUUUGUUCAGAUGUGUCUGAAUUUAAUUUAGAAGAUAAUGUCACUAUGCAGAAAUAAUGUGACAAUUUAUACCAUUAUAGACGGUGAGUAAUGUAACCAAACAGAUAUGUUAUGCACCUUUAUGUCAUUUCUUAGAUGGUUUUGUUUGGUGAAUAAUUUACCCUUAUAUCAUUUCUCAACCAAACAAACACGUUUGUUACAAGUACAGUUCAAGUUGACAAUAAGUGGCUAUCUGUACUGACCUUAACACUGACAGAUUGUUUUACUGUUACCAAUGUAUGCCAAUGAAUACUUUCAUAAAGAAGACUAAUUUAAUUUUAGUUUUCUCAAGCAAUUUUUUUAUUUAUGCAUUCGACAAUCCUUGUUAAAAAGUGCAUUAUAUCGCAAAUAUAAAAAAUGGAAUGUAGAUAAUGUUUUUAAAUAUUUCAAUAUUACUCAGUUACAUAAAACUUUGUUUACUUAUCUAGAAUUUUGUAUAAUAUUUUCAUGCCAUAAUGCAAGAUGUUUGCGCAAGUGUGCAAUACGUGCUAGAUGUGUUAUCAUAUGCAGAUACAUGUAUGCUAGUAUGCUCCUUUCCUAGUCCAUGUCAAAGUGCCAUAAUAUUGUACAUAAUUUGUCCAAUGAGUAUUGAUACCGGUAUUUGUAUAUAGUUAUUGAUAUAUUUAAUAUAUUCAGUGAUCAUACGAGCAGAUUGUACAGUGUACAUUUAAGUAGUGUAGUACAUGUAGCUAGACAUUCCUUCCCUGUGUCAAGGUCUGGGCGUGUUUACAGGGGAAAGUUAAUAAUGAGAAUAACGUUGUUUUUAGUGUGAAUAUCUGUGAUUGCGUGUUGAAACAUUAUAUUAGCUUAGUGCUGAAACAAUGCUUACAAAACAUUGGUAUUUGGUUUUCUUGUUAUGCAACAGAAUUAUAUAUUUUAAUUCUUUGGGAGUUUGUAUGCUAACAAUAUGUUCAUGUUGAAAUCUCGAAUUAUUCUUUUAAAUCCACAAACUGUUUGUAGCGCUACGACAUUUGUAAGCCUAUGAUACACUAUAGAGUUACGACAAAGUCGUAGCGUUACGAACGCUUUGUGGUUCGGGACCCUAGUCAUUUAUUCAAGGGGUGGUCUGGGCGCUUACCGGUAUAUUUUGGGACUGGUCAAGUGGGGGGAGAAGGGGUAGGGUCAUGAAAAAAUGUUUUAUGGUCUUGUGUUGGGAUAGGAGCACUAACAAAUGUCAAAUAAACCGAAUAAAAUGGAAAUAGGGCAGCCAAAUAUGAUCUGGCCCUGAUUUCUCAAAACAAACUAAGUCUGAGUUUUGACUUCUUUGUUCUUAAUCAAAUUUGAGAAAAUGCAGGAACAUUUCCCAGAUUUUUACCGAAUCAAUAUUAAACUCAAACAUAGUAGACAAUUUGAGUUUGGUGGAUAAAUUACUUAAGUCGUUUGGGCUUUUUCAUUUUAAAAUGCAGUUGAGUUAAAAAUUCAGCCGUUUCAAAUUGUCAAACUCAGUUUGAAAUUUGAGUGAAAACUUGACUUAAGUUUGUUUCCAGAAAUCGGGGCCUGUAUAUUACGCAAGAGUCCAUAUUUCACACGUCAGUACAAACUUACGGCUUUAUGCAUGGUUAGUGUGAGUUGUAGUACGUGUUUACAAACAGAUGUGGUGUUUUAAAAAAUUAGAAAAUAAGCCUGAUUUUUGUUUGUUUAUUCGGUUUUGUUUUGUUUUGUCGAAUGACCCUUGUAGAACAUCACUGUAUAUAGAUUUGUUAAUAUAUGUUAGCAUACCAUGUACAUACUGUAAACAUGUAGCCACGAGAGCUGAUUGUGUGAGAGUUAUCGCCCUGUCAGUUUUUCCACGAUGGUGCAGUGGCACCGACAUACACCAUGUCUGGUGGGUUUUAGCCAGGGUUGUCAUAGAAUCAUGUAGUUGUGAAUCUGAAUGUAACUCGUCUCCAAUAAACGCAGUUUAUUUCAAAAUUACCUACAGUUUGGCUGACAGGUUAACCACGAAUUUGUAUCCAGUGUAAACACACCGUUUCAUGCAGGAAGUUUCUAGAAUUUGCUAACGUACUUUAAGUCCCUUUUGACCUUGACCUCUCGAAAGGAUUCCCUGAAAUUUUCACUGUUUGAUCAUGACGAAUUCCAAGUUUCGUUAUUUUUUCUAACGCACCAGUAUUAAUAAUGUCUGAUAAAUCAAUUAAAUCAAUAACAGAAUAACACGGAUAUUACAAUCUGUGCAGGGUUAACUCCCUUGACAGUGGUAGGAUCCGAAGUGUUUCCUACUCCGAAGUGAGUUUUGACCUCACAUGUUAUCAAGAUAAGAAGCUUGUAUAACCGAAAUUCUGUUCAAAUUAGCAUUGGCCACAUCCAGCUCACUAAUUUUCACGCCAUUUCUGAAACGAUGCUGGGGUAAUUAUCACAUAAGAAUGGGAGCAUAUUCAACUGGAAUGUCCGCGGUGACAUUCUCUGUCCUCAGUUGUUGGAGACAAGGUACAACCUGGUAAGAAUCACAGUAGAGACAUUCCACUAGCAUACAAUACUGCCCAAUGACCUAGGUAGGUGCGUUCUCAAAGAACUGACUUGUACCAUUCGUUAUUGUUAGUUGUCUAAUGUAUUUAAGAAGUAAAGAAAUGUACAUGUUACUGGCUCUAACAAACCCACAUCCUCGAUAAUCUCCAGGAUGUACGUUACGAUAACGUAUACCCUGGAGAUUAUCGAGGAUGACAAACCCACUCCCUUGCGGAAUAUUGUAGUGUUGGUUGUGCCCAUGUUCUACACAACAGUGCAGACACUCAGCUACAUCUCACAACCAAUUUUGUUUUUAUAAAGCAUGUAUGAUACAUUCUCUUGAUAACAUUAUACUUUACAGUUUUUUAGUUUUGUUGUGUCUUUCUGUGUCGACCAGUUAACAAGCAGCAAUGAUGUAAGUCAGUCCUUGAGAACGUUUUUGUAAACUGAUGAUAUUUUAUACUCGAGAAAAAUAAAACAUAUAAAUAUGA